CGCACAGUGGUGUAGUGGUUAGCACGUACGCCUCACACCUCCAGGGUCGGGGAUUCGAUUCCUGCCGCUACCCUGUGUGU